AAUUACCCCCGAUUGCAACGGUAUCCUUUUUCUUUUUUCUCAAAAAAGAUAUAUAUAUUGGAAAGCGAGUUUAAGC
rnacentral:sRNA from 1 species